GGUGGUUCUUGGGUGACACACCUCAGAAUUGGGCUCCCUCCUCUCUGGUUCAGGGUGCAUCACCAGAGAACUGCA
rfam:Myotis davidii contig29390, whole genome shotgun sequence.